UACGUAUGGGGCAAGCGUUAUCCGGAUUUACUGGGUUUAAAGGGUGCGUAGGCGGGAUGCCAAGUCAGCGGUAAAAAUGCGGUGCUCAACGCCGUCGAGCCGUUGAAACUGGCGUUCUUGAGUGGGCGAGAAGUAUGCGGAAUGCGUGGUGUAGCGGUGAAAUGCAUAGAUAUCACGCAGAACUCCGAUUGCGAAGGCAGCAUACCGGCGCCCUACUGACGCUGAGGCACGAAAGCGUGGGUAUCGAACAGG
rnacentral:rRNA from 1 species